rnacentral:rRNA from 1 species
AAUGAACGCUGGCGGCAUGCCUAACACAUGCAAGUCGAGCGGAGCUGCGGACGGGUGAGUAAUUCCUAGGAAUCUGCCCUGCAGUUGGGGAUAACGUCCCGAAACGGGCCCUAAUACCGCAUACUAUCUGCUGUGCCUAGGUCGGAUUAGCUAGUUGGUGGGGUAAAGGCCUACCAAGGCGACGAUCCGUAACUGCUCUGAGAGGAUGAUCAGUCACACUGGAACUGAGACACGGUCCAGACUCCUACGGGAGGCAGCAGUGGGGAAUCUGGCGCAAUGGGCGAAAGCCUGACGCAGCCAUGCCGCGUGUGUGAAGAAGGCCUUCGGGUUGUAAAGCACUUUCAGUGGGGAGGCGGUACCCGAAGAAGAAGCACCGGCUAACUACGUGCCAGCAGCCGCGGUAAUAC